CGAAUCAGGUAGGACUACCCGCUGAACUUAAGCAUAUC
rnacentral:rRNA from 1 species